AUAGAGAGUUUGAGCAAGACAACGAAGUACGAAGACGAAGGCAUACUUGACAAUUUUUGCCAUCUGUACAUUAUCUUGCACAUACCGGUGUUGACGUAAGUGGUGGUUGCUCAACGUGUCUUCCCAUGUGUCACUGUUUAUGAUACUGACCAUAAUUCAUGCCCUGAUACAGAAAAAAAACAGCGAGACAUGAAACUAUAUCCUGUCUUUGUCCUUCUGCUUUCGUGCAGAACGAAGUUCACAACGAAUUUUGCCAAAAUAUUCGUUGUGAACGAAGGCAGAAGACGAAGACGGGAUAUGGAUUCAUGUCUCGCUGUUUUAUCCUGAUCAGGGUAGGGAUUUGGGUUAUCAUUCACAAACAGCUAGACAUGAAUCUCUAAUCUGUCUUCACUCCUGACCCUAAACUCAGAAUGCGCAAGGUAAUGUGCAAGACAGGCAAACAUUGUCAACCACGUCGUCGUCGUCCGACUUCGUUGUCUUGCUCAAACUCUCU